GUGUGGUGGUUUAUGGCGCAUGUUUGUAUGCAGCACCAAAACUGGUCAAAUCGGCCCGUAUUCUGUAUGAGAUUAAUUCAUAAAGUGUUGUAUGCUUGACUAUGUGUAACGGAGUUUAAAAAUAAUGUUAGUUAAAUUCAGCAUAAAUUGGGAAACUCGCCAUUGGCUGUUACGUCACUCGCGUUAGUGCACAUCAGAGCCAUAGAGAGAGAGAGUUGCGACAACUCCAUAGACUCCAAUGGAACGGUUUUUUACAGCAAUGGCGGCUCGUGGAGCCUCUCAAUAGUUCCCGGAAGUAGCAGCCGCGCCGUAGAGUUACAGCAGAACAGACCGUUUGUGAUGUACUUUUAAAAGCACAAAGGGGAUUCAGAUCCUGAAGACUCCAUGCAAUGAUGCUGUCACCGCCAGUCUCUGCUCCUUGGAUUUUGCAAGCUUUUCCUUGCUCCUUAUUUUUAAUAAACCUUUAAUAAACAUAAAA